GGAUGUCGCCAAGUGGAUAAGGCAGU
rnacentral:tRNA from 1 species